rnacentral:rRNA from 1 species
UGCACCGAAGCUGCGGCAGCGAACGUAUCACCCAAGACAACUUUACGGAGUUGACGAUUGACGGAGCGAAGCGACGUCAAAGCGUUCAUUAAAGUCGAGUUGGCUUAGGGAUACGUUCGUUGGGUAGGGGAGCGUUCUGUAAGCCUGUGAAGGUGUGUCGUGAGGCAUGCUGGAGGUAUCAGAAGUGCGAAUGCUGACAUAAGUAACGAUAAAGCGGGUGAAAAGCCCGCUCGCCGGAAGACCAAGGGUUCCUGUCCAACGUUAAUCGGGGCAGGGUGAGUCGACCCCUAAGGCGAGGCCGAAAGGCGUAGUCGAUGGGAAACGGGUUAAUAUUCCCGUACUUGGUGUUACUGCGAAGGGGGGACGGAGAAGGCUAUGUUGGCCGGGCGACGGUUGUCCCGGUUUAAGCGUGUAGGUGUGUGUUCCAGGUAAAUCCGGUUCACUUUAACACUGAGGCGUGACGACGAGGCACUACGGUGCUGAAGCAACAAAUGCCCUGCUUCCAGGAAAAGCCUCUAAGCAUCAGGUAACAUCAAAUCGUACCCCAAACCGACACAGGUGGUCAGGUAGAGAAUACCAAGGCGCUUGAGAGAACUCGGGUGAAGGAACUAGGCAAAAUGGUGCCGUAACUUCGGGAGAAGGCACGCUGACACGUAGGUGAAGUGAUUUACUCAUGGAGCUGAAGUCAGUCGAAGAUACCAGCUGGCUGCAACUGUUUAUUAAAAACACAGCACUGUGCAAACACGAAAGUGGACGUAUACGGUGUGACGCCUGCCCGGUGCCGGAAGGUUAAUUGAUGGGGUCAGCGCAAGCGAAGCUCCUGAUCGAAGCCCCGGUAAACGGCGGCCGUAACUAUAACGGUCCUAAGGUAGCGAAAUUCCUUGUCGGGUAAGUUCCGACCUGCACGAAUGGCGUAAUGAUGGCCAGGCUGUCUCCACCCGAGACUCAGUGAAAUUGAACUCGCUGUGAAGAUGCAGUGUACCCGCGGCAAGACGGAAAGACCCCGUGAACCUUUACUAUAGCUUGACACUGAACAUUGAGCCUUGAUGUGUAGGAUAGGUGGGAGGCUUUGAAGUGUGGACGCCAGUCUGCAUGGAGCCGACCUUGAAAUACCACCCUUUAAUGUUUGAUGUUCUAACGUGGACCCGUAAUCCGGGUUGCGGACAGUGUCUGGUGGGUAGUUUGACUGGGGCGGUCUCCUCCUAAAGAGUAACGGAGGAGCACGAAGGUUGGCUAAUCCUGGUCGGACAUCAGGAGGUUAGUGCAAUGGCAUAAGCCAGCUUGACUGCGAGCGUGACGGCGCGAGCAGGUGCGAAAGCAGGUCAUAGUGAUCCGGUGGUUCUGAAUGGAAGGGCCAUCGCUCAACGGAUAAAAGGUACUCCGGGGAUAACAGGCUGAUACCGCCCAAGAGUUCAUAUCGACGGCGGUGUUUGGCACCUCGAUGUCGGCUCAUCACAUCCUGGGGCUGAAGUAGGUCCCAAGGGUAUGGCUGUUCGCCAUUUAAAGUGGUACGCGAGCUGGGUUUAGAACGUCGUGAGACAGUUCGGUCCCUAUCUGCCGUGGGCGCUGGAGAACUGAGGGGGGCUGCUCCUAGUACGAGAGGACCGGAGUGGACGCAUCACUGGUGUUCGGGUUGUCAUGCCAAUGGCACUGCCCGGUAGCUAAAUGCGGAAGAGAUAAGUGCUGAAAGCAUCUAAGCACGAAACUUGCCCCGA